AUACGGAGGAUGCGAGCGUUAUCCGGAUUUAUUGGGGUUAAAGGGAGCGUAGGUGGGAUAUUAAGUCAGCUGUGAAAGUUUGGGGCUCAACCUUAAAAUUGCAGUUGAUACUGGUUUCCUUGAGUACGGUACAGGUGGGCGGAAUUCGUGGUGUAGCGGUGAAAUGCUUAGAUAUCACGAAGAACUCCGAUCGCGAAGGCAGCUCACCGGGCCGGAACUGACACUGAUGCUCGAAAGUGCGGGUAUCAAACAGGAUUAGAUACCCUGGUAGUCCGCACAGUAAACGAUGAAUACUCGCUGUUUGCGAUACACUGUAAGCGGCCAAGCGAAAGCGUUAAGUAUUCCACCUGGGGAGUACGCCGGCAACGGUGAAACUCAAAGGAAUUGACGGGG
rnacentral:rRNA from 1 species